AACUGAAAAUGUGAAUGGCAAAGCUUACAGAAUUACACAAUUUUCUUCUUCUUUCAACUCAGAGCAGAUGAACAUCAGGCCUUCAAUGUUUCUGAAUUCCACAAUCUCCACAACAACAUGAACCCCUCUUUGUAUCUCAGGUGCUCCUCACUCAAGAACUAGCAACGAAACUUAAGAUUCAGAUUGAAAAAGUUCCUGCCAAACUGUAAUUCAUCAAGGAUCUCGGAAAAUUGGCUGUGCAGCCCACUUGAGAUGUAAAUUUAGUAUGCCGGAUUUAGUCCCAUGAAUGUUGAAGGCCUCUGUGAAUUCUCCUUCUAGUAUGACUCUGUAAAGGUGCAUACCUUGUGAUGAAGCACAGCAGAUCAGAAUAGUAGGGGAGAAAAAGAAAGGAAAGAACAGAGAAGAAAGGAAGGGUGAAGCCAAGUAGCAAAACAUAUCUUUGUUUUCAGAAGACUGAAAUAACAAGCUAAGUUCUCAAGCUCUGUGUUAGAUAGCUCCUUAAAUUCAAGUUUGAUUCAGAUAGGAGUCUCUCAUAUGAAACCCAAUCUGAUUGUGACUGGGAGAUAGUGGUAGGCAUAGGACUAUUAAUCCAACUAGAGUUGUCAUCAAUAAAUAGACCUCCCUAGUUUAGUAGUUGAUCGGGCCAGAGAUCAGUAACCCAAGGGGUGAUGUAGCCUGUUUACUGAAAUUGUGUGUGAUCAGACCCUAACACUACUGUACAGCACGCUGGCAUU